rnacentral:snRNA from 1 species
GAACCCACAAAGGGUGUUGGU